UGGCAGGAAGCUGUCUGUCCCAACGUGU
rnacentral:piRNA from 1 species